rnacentral:rRNA from 1 species
UACGAAGGGGGCUAGCGUUGCUCGGAAUCACUGGGCGUAAAGCGCACGUAGGCGGCUUGUUAAGUCAGGGGUGAAAUCCUGGAGCUCAACUCCAGAACUGCCUUUGAUACUGGCGAGCUUGAGUUCGGGAGAGGUGAGUGGAACUGCGAGUGUAGAGGUGAAAUUCGUAGAUAUUCGCAAGAACACCAGUGGCGAAGGCGGCUCACUGGCCCAUAACUGACGCUGAGGCACGAAAGCGUGGGGAGCAAACAGG